rnacentral:rRNA from 1 species
AAAUUUACUUGUUUAAAUAUUGGUAUUGCAUACUAUUACAAUAAAAUUUCAUGUGAAUGAAAAAUAGAAACAAAGGGUAGAGUAAAUAUUAGUUUUAUUGUUUCAUACUAAAAAUUAUAUUUAUUAGAGUUGAUAUGUCGACCUUUGUGAUAACUGUUUUUAUUCUUAUAUUAGAAAAUUAUAUAUUAUAUAAUUAUUUUAGGAAAUUUAAAAUUUGAAGUGUUUUAAAUUUAUGUUUUACAACAUUUUCCUAAUUUUAUUUAAGUUUAAUUUUUAAUUUAAUAAAGUUUUAUUAAAUAAAUAAUUUGUAAAUUAGUAAAUUUUAUAAAUUUAAUUUAUUAUUAAAAUAUAAUUGAAGAACUUGAAGUCUUGAUCAAAUGUUUUUUAAAGACUUAGGCUUUACAUUAAAGCUGGCUUCUGCCCUAUGAUAUUUAAAUGGCAGUCUUAGCGUGAGGACAUUAAGGUAGCAAAAUAAUUUGUGCUUUUAUUGAGUUCCAGUAUGAAUGAAGUUAUUGGUUAGUUCUAUUUAUGUUUUAUGUUUGAAUUUAAUUUUUAUUUAAGAAAAAAUAAAUAUAUUUAUACAAAGAUAAGUCUUCGGAAAUUCUGUUAUUACACAAUUAAAUAAUUGUGUAAUAAAUUUUCUAGGGCAGAAUAUUAUAUAAUAGUAUUUCACUAUAUUUAAUUUAAAGAAUUACUCCGGA